rnacentral:rRNA from 1 species
UACAGGAGGGUGCGAGCGUUGUUCGGAAUUAUUGGGCGUAAAGGGCGCGUAGGCGGCGCCACAAGUCACUUGUGAAAACUCUGGGCUCAACCCAGAGCCUGCAGGCGAAACUGUGGUGCUGGAGUAUGGGAGAGGUGCGUGGAAUUCCCGGUGUAGCGGUGAAAUGCGUAGAUAGUCGGGAGGAACACCUGUGGCGAAAGCGGCGCACUGGACCAUAACUGACGCUGAGGCGCGAAAGCUAGGGGAGCAAACAGG